GGGUCAGUAGGUUGGUCGUGCCACCGGUACGUACUGGUCUCACUGAUUCCUCCUUCCUGAAGAACCGUAAUACCAUUAAUUUGGUGUUGCGGGGAAACAGGACUGUUACUUUGAAAAAAUUAGAGUGUUUAAAGCAAGCUAACGCUUGUAUACAUUAGCAUGGAAUAAUGAAAUAGGACGAUCGAUCCUAUUUUGUUGGUUUCUAGGAUUGACGUA
rnacentral:rRNA from 1 species